rnacentral:misc_RNA from 1 species
UGGCUCUCGCAUCGAUGAAGAACGCAGCGAAAUGCGAUAAGUAAUGUGAAUUGCAGAAUUCAGUGAAUCAUCGAAUCUUUGAACGCACCUUGCGCCCCUUGGUAUUCCGGGGGGCAUGCCUGUUUGAGUGUCAUGUUAAUCUCAAACCGCCUGUCUUUCUUAAUUGAAGACUCGAGGGUUUGGACUUGGAGGUUUAUUGCUGGUGUCCCCGAGGCUUCACUUGCCAUGGGGUUCGCACUGGCUCCUCUGAAAUGCAUGAGCUAGACUUUGGCUCGCGUUUACGGUGUAAUAGUGACUAUUUUCACCAGAGCGCCUGCCUAAUAGGUCUGCUUCUAAUCGUCCUUCGUGGACAAGGAUCCCUGAGUGGCCUUCUUUGACACCUUUGACCUCAAAUCAGGUAGGAUUACCCGCUGA